CAUUUUCUUCUCCUCUCCUCCUCCUCUGUUUCGGAUGGGUUCGUGUCCCCCUUAAUUUGCAAACCUUUUUCGCCUCACAACCAAUCUCGAGCUGGUGAGGGGAACAACUUUUCUCAAAAUUGGGAGAAUCAUAAUUUCUGAAAAUUUCCUAAUCAAAAAAGUCUGAUUUUCUUUCUGCACUCUUUGCAAAUUUGAGGAGGAUUUUGCUCUUAAAAAUGGAGGGAAGACGCCGAGAGUCGAUUUUGGAGAGGAAAGAAAGUCAAAACCUGGCCGUGACGUAUAUCAUCAUUUUGGGCUUGCUCGGCCUCAUGUACGUCGUCUAUGAAUUCGUCCUCUGAGAUUAAAAACAUGUAAAUUUUCAAAAGAAGAAAAGAGUGGAGGUGCCGAGAAUUCGUUUGUGCUUAGAAAAUAAUGUGAUUUCAGAAAUAAAUAAAUAAAUUUGUUAGUAAAAAUGUGUACAAUUUUAAAUAAAUACAUAAUGAAAUUCACGCAGUGAAUACUUGGCAAUAUUGUAAACUGUGUAAAACGGUUGGAUAAAUUUGUUUUAAAUUCGAUAUCCUGCCUAAGAGAAUGAUUUCUAGUUUGACAGGAUUCUACGUCAAUUGGUACACAUUUAAGUUUGAAAAUGUUAUGCAAAAGUUUUUACGAUGUUACCAAAUGCAGUGUGGGUUUCCUUUUGUAGUUAUGCGAAUUGUUCAGUUAUUUGGGUUUCGUUUUAAAUAAAUCGUUGCAUGAUUGGA